CCUACGGGAGGCAGCAGUGGGGGAUAUUGGACAAUGGGGGGAACCCUGAUCCAGCGACGCCGCGUGAGUGAAGAAGUAUCUCGGUAUGUAAAGCUCUAUCAGCAGGGAAGAAGAAAUGACGGUACCUGAGUAAGAAGCCCCGGCUAACUACGUGCCAGCAGCCGCGGUAAUACGUAGGGGGCAAGCGUUAUCCGGAAUUACUGGGUGUAAAGGGAGCGUAGACGGUGAUGUAAGUCUGGAGUGAAAGGCGGGGGCCCAACCCCCGGACUGCUCUGGAAACUAUGUGACUGGAGUGCAGGAGAGGUGAGCGGAAUUCCUAGUGUAGGAGUGAAAUCCGUAGAUAGUAGAAGGAACACCAAUAGCGUAGGCAGGUUACUGGGACGGUUCUGACACUAAGGCACGAAAGCGUAGGGAGCAAACGGGAUUAGAUACCCCGGUAGUC
rnacentral:rRNA from 1 species